rnacentral:rRNA from 1 species
UACUUACAACUUGUUGAUAAUCAGAAAUCAAAGACUAAGAAAGAAAAAUAAUUUAACAAUUUUAUUUUUAGUAAUUUUUAAUGAAAAUAAAUUCAAACGAUAGGGAAGAGUACUGUGAAGGAAGGUAUUUAAAGUUAAUCAUAGUAGAAAUAAAAUUUUGUACCUUGUGUAUUAGGGAGAAUUUAUCUAAUUUAGUUAAAAAUUAAAUAUCCCGAAAUAAAAUAUAGUUAAUUUUGUAAGUAAGUCUUUGUAGAAAAAAAGUUUAAAAUAUGAAAUUAAAAGUGAAAUACUAGUUGAGUUUUAUAAUAUCUGGUUUUUUUAGAAAAAAUUUAAUUUAGUUCUUGUAGGUAAUUAGUAUCAGAACAUAGGGCAGGAGGGAAUAGCUUCUUGUGAAAAAUAAAUUUAAACAGUUAAAUAUAAAGUAUAUUAUAAAUUAGGCUUAGAAGUAGCCACAUUUAAAAAGUGUUUUAACUGGGUUUAAAACAAAAAUUGAUUUAUAUGGUAGCUUUUAAAAUUAUAAAAAAAUAAGUUUAAACAACAUAAACUAAGAUAUAAUGAUUUUAUUAGUAAAAAUUUAAUUAUAAAUAAAAUAUUAAAAUAUUAAAAUUUAUUUAAUAAGUUAGUAAAUAAUAUAAAGGAAUUCGGCAAAAUUUUUCUUUGCCUGUUUAUCAAAAACAUGUCUUUUUGAAGGUAAAAAAAGUCAAGCCUGCCCACUGAAAGUUUUAAAGGCCGCGGUAUCCUGACCGUGCAAAGGUAGCAUAAUCGUUAGUUCCUUAAUUGGGAUCUUGUAUGAAUGGUUAGACAAAAGAAAACCUGUCUCUGUAUUAAAAUUGAAUUUAACUUUUAAGUGAAAAGGCUUAAAUAAAUUAAAGGGACGAUAAGACCCUAUAAAGCUUUAUAAAUAUAUUGUUAUUUAAUUUAAUUUUUUAAUAAAAAUUUUAUAACUAAAUUUUAUUUUGUUGGGGUGACAAAAGUAAAAUUAUUAGUAACUGCUUGAAUUUAAAUACAAAUGAUAGUUGAGUUGGUGGUUUUAAAAGAUCCUAAAUAAAGAUUAUAAGUUUAAGUUACUUUAGGGAUAACAGCGUUAUUUUUUUUGAGAGUACAUAUCGAAAAAAAAGUUUGCGACCUCGAUGUUG